rnacentral:rRNA from 1 species
GAUGAACGCUGGCGGCGCGCCUAACACAUGCAAGUCGAACGACACCCCUCCUCGGAGGGAAGCGAGUGGCGAACGGCUGAGUAACACGUGGAGAACCUGCCCCCUCCCCCGGGAUAGCCGCCCGAAAGGACGGGUAAUACCGGAUACCCCGGGGUGCCGCAUGGCACCCCGGCUAAAGCCCCGACGGGAGGGGAUGGCUCCGCGGCCCAUCAGGUAGACGGCGGGGUGACGGCCCACCGUGCCGACAACGGGUAGCCGGGUUGAGAGACCGACCGGCCAGAUUGGGACUGAGACACGGCCCAGACUCCUACGGGAGGCAGCAGUGGGGAAUCUUGCGCAAUGGGGGGAACCCUGACGCAGCGACGCCGCGUGCGGGACGGAGGCCUUCGGGUCGUAAACCGCUUUCAGCAGGGAAGAGUCAAGACUGUACCUGCAGAAGAAGCCCCGGCUAACUACGUG